rnacentral:rRNA from 1 species
CUACGGGUCGCAGCAGUCGAGAAUUUUUCUCAAUGGGCGAAAGCCUGAAGGAGCGACGCCGCGUGGGGGAUGAAGGGCUUCGGCUCGUAAACCCCUGUCAUUCGCGAUCAAACCUUUCCGUCUAACACACGGGGAGCUGAUAGUAGCGGAAGAGGAAGGGACGGCUAACUCUGUGCCAGCAGCCGCGGUAAUACAGAGGUCCCAAGCGUUGUUCGGAUUCACUGGGCGUAAAGGGUGCGUAGGUGGCGAGGUAAGUUUGAUGUGAAAGCUCCGGGCUCAACCCGGAAAUGGCAUUGAAUACUCUCUCGCUAGAGGAUUGGAGGGGAGUCUGGAAUUCUCGGUGUAGCAGUGAAAUGCGUAGAUAUCGAGAGGAACACCAGUGGCGAAGGCGAGACUCUGGACAAUUCCUGACACUGAGGCACGAAAGCCAGGGGAGCAAACGGGAUUAGAUACCCUUGUAGUC